rnacentral:rRNA from 1 species
UACGUAGGGAGCAAGCGUUGUCCGGAAUCAUUGGGCGUAAAGGGCUCGUAGGCGGCCAACUAAGUCAGACGUGAAAUCCCUCGGCUUAACCGGGGAACUGCAUUUGUGACUGCAAGGCUAGAGUGUGUCAGAGGGGGGUAGAAUUCCACGUGUAGCAGUGAAAUGCGUAGAUAUGUGGAGGAAUACCGAUGGCGAAGGCAGCCCCCUGGGAUAACACUGACGCUCAUGCACGAAAGCGUGGGGAGCAAACAGG